AAGGGCUUCUGACGGAUGCCUUGGCAUUGAGAGGCGAUGAAGGACGUGGCACGCUGCGAUAAGAGCCGGGGAGGCGCGAGCACCCUUUGAUCCGGCUAUCUCCGAAUGGGGAAACCCACCUUUAUGGUCACCCGACUUAGUCUUG
rnacentral:rRNA from 1 species